AACGCGAAGAACCUUACCUAGGUUGAACUACGCAGGAAAAGCCAUAGAGAUAUGGUGUCCGAAAGGGUCUGCGAUAGGUGGUGCAUGGCUGUCGUCAGCUCGUGUCGUGAGAUGUUGGGUUAAGUCCCGCAACGAGCGCAACCCUUAUUCUAUGUUGCCAGCGGGUAAUGCCGGGGACUCGUAGAAGACUGCCGGGGUCAACUCGGAGGAAGGUGGGGAUGACGUCAAGUCAUCAUGCCCCUUAUGCCUAGGGCUGCAAACAUGCUACAAUGGCUGGUACAAAGGGCUGCUAUUCCGCGAGGAUGAGCGAAUCCCAUAAAGCCAGUCUCAGUUCGGAUUGGAGUCUGCAACUCGACUCCAUGAAGUCGGAGUCGCUAGUAAUCCCGGAUCAGCAAUGCCGGGGUGAAUACGUUCCCGGGUCUUGUACACACCG
rnacentral:rRNA from 1 species